CUUUUCUAGGCAGUUGUUCAAGGCUUUGACAGUCUCCUUCCCCAGAGAAGAAAAGGACAACGUGUUUGAUAAAAUCUACAUACUGGCAACACCGUAUCUCUAAAUCCUUAUUCUCAACAUCAGCCACAUAUGUGGAUUAUCCAUAUCAUCCAGAGGCGACUACAAAUGGAAGAAACAUCUCAUUAUGCUUACCAGGGCCAGAAGCGUCCUCUUCCACAAGGUGAUGCGAGGGACCAGAAGGCAGGCGUCCUGCUGGAGCUGAGCCAGGCUGUCUCCGCUGAGGACCGGGAUACCCGGGAUACCCGUUGAACCUCUUUGCAAAAACCAUAAAAGUAUUUUUCAAGAA